rnacentral:lncRNA from 1 species
ACACUGCUCUUCCAUGCUCACAGAUGAGCCCAGGCCAGGUCAGCUUCUCCAUCCCCAGCCCUUCUUGUCCUUGGGAUUGGGUUUCUGGAGACAUCUGUGAGAAAAACUUUCUCUGGUCUUCCCAGUUUACAAGAAAAGAGCAAAUAUUUUACAACGUAUCAGGAUAAGCUGUGACAAGUACCACACGUCCACACAGUCUUUGCUCAAAGCUCACAGCCUGAAAAGACUUCCAGGCAGUCAGAGGCUCACAGCCCAGAGAGCUGAGGGCGAAACACCAAGAAGCCAUCUUCUGUUCCAAGAAUUACUCGUUCCUGCCCUCGAGCCAUCAACCCAAGCAGCGUUUCAUCCUGGAAUCUCUUGAGAAUCGUUUCUGUGGGAACGUGGAGUUGUGUGAGAAUUCCGAGCGCCUGUAAGAAAACUCCAGAACAAGUCUCAUGACCCAUUUCCUCGAAAUACACGAUCGUUCUUGGAAUGUUUUACGCCACUCCCAGGUGUAAGCAGAUAGGAUUGCCCACCUUUAGCUACGACAUCCUAUCUGACGGACUCCAUCUGAUCUGUUUACUCCAGUGUCCCCAGCAUCUGGUUAUGCCUGGCACAUGGCAGUAGUUCAAUAGUUUUUCUGAACAAAUGGAUGGUGAAAUGAAGACUAAUGGAUAAAAAUCCAAAGGCCCUGCAGAUUGCUACACGUUAUAACUUACUUUAUCCAAAAAGACAUUUGGGAAAAUCCUUGAGUAAUAGACUAAAAAUAAAUAUAUUCUGCCUCCCCAAAA